GUGUCAGCAGCCGCGGUAGGACGUAGGGGGCGAGCGUUGUCCGGAUUUAUUGGGCGUAAAGAGCGCGUAGGCGGCUCGUUAAGUCGGGUGUGAAAACCCGGGGCUCAACCCCGGUCCUGCAUCCGAUACUGGCGGGCUCGAGGCAGGUAGGGGAGAGUGGAAUUCCUGGUGUAGCGGUGAAAUGCGCAGAUAUCAGGAGGAACACCGGUGGCGAAGGCGGCUCUCUGGACCUGUCCUGACGCUCAGGCGCGAAAGCUAGGGGAGCAAACAGGAUUAGAUACCCUGGUAGUCCUAGCCGUAAACGUUGGGUGCUAGGUGUGGGGCGGCGAUUGACCCGCUCUGUGCCGAAGCUAACGCAUUAAGCACCCCGCUUGGGGAGUACGGCCGCAAGGCUAAA
rnacentral:rRNA from 1 species